GAUUGAAUGAAGAAGCAUGUGCUAUGAAGGACAAAAAUAUGGCAGAAAGAAUAUCUUCUUUACAUGAAGAUAUUAAAGAUAAAAAAAACAGCACAAAGAAGAUUUAGACUGCUUGAAGAAGGGACAAGAGGAGAUUGUUCGUUUGUUACUUUCACUGACAGAAGUGGUAAAUCAAAGACUUUCGCACAAAUGUGAAAGUGAAAAACAAUCUUAAGAGCCCUUGGAAAAGAAUACUCCUCCAUCAAUAAGUUUAGAAAUGAUUGAUGCUGAUGUUGAUAAAGAGAAAGAGAUAAUGAGAAAAUCGAGGAAGAUGAUAAUCAUCGUGAAAAUAAGUCAAAAAUGGUGCAUGACACAUCAAACAAAGUGAAGAAAAAGCAAAAGUGAAAAUUACGGAAAUAGCGACGAAUAUUGAAAAUGCUAGGCCGGAGAGACAACCUAAACCAUCAAAGAAAGUGUUGGAGAAUGUGAAAAAGCAAAAGAAUGCAGGAGGCAAGAAGAAUGAUUCUCCAAAACCAACAAGACAUUCUCCUAGAAUAAAGGAUCUUGCACCUAGUUUUGAUUUGCAAAUCUCUCAAUUAUAAGUAGAUGAAUAUU